rnacentral:rRNA from 1 species
GACGAACGCUGGCGGCAGGCCUAACACAUGCAAGUCGAACGCGCGUAGCAAUACGCGAGUGGCGCACGGGUGAGUAACACGUGGGAACCAACCCAGAGGUUCGGAAUAACCGCGGGAAACUGCGGCUAAUACCGGAUAUCCCCUACGGGGAAAGAUUUAUCGCCUCUGGACGGGCCCGCGUCCGAUUAGCUAGUUGGUGAGGUAAUGGCUCACCAAGGCGACGAUCGGUAGCUGGUCUGAGAGGACGACCAGCCACACUGGAACUGAGACACGGUCCAGACUCCUACGGGAGGCAGCAGUGGGGGAAUAUUGGGCAAUGGAGGCAACUCUGACCCAGCCAUGCCGCGUGGGUGACGAAGGUCUUCGGAUUGUAAAGCCCUUUCGGCGGGGACGAUGAUGACGGUACCCGCAGAAGAAGCCCCGGCUAACUUCGUGCCAGCCGCCGCAGUAAU